GCCUCAAUGGUCUAGUGGUAUGAUUCGCGCUUCGGGAUAUACCCUUGCUUGUGACAAGCAACACCAAUGUGCGAGGUCCUGGGUUCGAAUCCCAGUUGAGGCC